rnacentral:rRNA from 1 species
AUUGAACGCUGGCGGCAGGCCUAACACAUGCAAGUCGAGCGAGCGGCGGACGGGUGAGUAAUGUAUGGGGAUCUGCCUGAUAGAGGGGGAUAACUACUGGAAACGGUGGCUAAUACCGCAUACUAUAGGAUGAACCCAGAUGGGAUUCGCUCGUAGGUGGGGUAAAGGCUCACCUAGGCGACGAUCGCUAGCUGGUCUGAGAGGAUGAUCAGACACACUGGAACUGAGACACGGCCCAGACUCUGACGGUAGGCAGCAGUGGGGAAUCUUGCACAAUGGGCGCGAUCCUGAUGCAUCCAUGCCGCGUGUGUGAAGAAGGCCUUAGGGUUGUAAAGCACUUUCAGCGAGGAGGCGUUACCCGCAGAAGAAGCAACGGCUAACUCCGUGCCAGCAGCCGCGGUAAUAC